GGGAACCUAUCCAAUGACACUUGCUUUGGCCUCCUUUUGAGGAUUUCGCGGAAAUGUGACAUUGCAUUGUCGUUAAACAGAUUCAUUGCUUGCACUGCUACAGACUUAUAUGGGUGGUGCUUUUCUACAAGAUUUUGUGCUGUUUCCCACAUUUCACACAUCUCCCUGAUCUCGUUUGAAGUGAGGGAUUCCUCUACCUUUUUCUCCUCCUCCUCUGCAGACGACAUCUCCAUCGGUUUGUCGGUGGCCAGCUCCUGCCUCUCUUCCUCCACCAGCUCUUGAAUGUCGUCCUCAUUCACCUCCAGUCCCAUGGUCUUCCUCAAAGACACAAUUUCAUUGACAACUGGUGGCUCGUGUUCAUGGCAAGCCCCUCUGAGAAGGCAAGAACGCAAUCAGGCCACAGUUUUCUCCAAGCAGAAUUGAGGAUUCUUUUUCUUGGUAACCCCAUCCCAGAGUUCAUCGAUGAUCUUGAGGCAGUUCGUGAUGUGGAAAUGAUUUUUCCAAAACUCUUGGAAGAGCCGAAGACCUCAUUGAUCCACUCAACGAACAAGAUAUAAGUGACCCAAGCCUUGCUGUUGGACCUCCACAGACCGUUUAACUGGCUCUUCUGCACCUUGCAUUUCCUGAAGGCUCAUGGAUUCUUGGAAUGAUACAUGAGCAGGGGCUUGACUUUGAAAUCCCUGCUUGCCUUAGCACAAACAGGAGGGUAACAUUCAGAAACCAUGAGCUUCUGGAACUUGAUAGCGAACGCCUCAGCUGCCUUAGCAUACAAACUCGCACCCUCUCGGUGCCUCACGACACUACGGAUGCCACUUCUCUUAAAGCUAUCAAACCAUCCCCUGCUUGCCUUGAAGUCUUCUUCGUUUUCUGUUGAUGCACCUGGCAGUUUAUUUACGAGGUCAGCACACAAGGCCUUUGCCUUCUCGCAGAUUGCAAACAAACUAAUAUGUAUUCGCUCCUUGGUGAAUCACAGAAACUACACCAGCUUCCUCUUUGUAAAGACACCAGGGCAGUGACCCAGUAGAAGCAAGCUUCUGUACUUCCAAGGGCCCACGUCAUUGCUUUCGGAAAAGAUUCAGCUUAUCAAGUAGCUGAGUGAUAAAUCUUCUCUUAAACUUACGUAAGUCAUUCUGGUUGUUCCUUAGUUCUUGUGUGAAACCACACACGAACUUAAUAAUGGACAUUCUAUCACUUUUUAUUAAAUUUUUUUUUUUAACGUUUAUUUAUUUUUGAGACAGAGACAGAGACAGCAUGAACGGGGGAGGGUCAGAGAGAGAGAGGGAGGGAGGCACAGAAUCGGAAAC